rnacentral:rRNA from 2 species
GUUGGGUAACACUAACUGGAGGACCGAACCGACUAAUGUUGAAAAAUUAGCGGAUGACCUGUGGCUGGGGGUGAAAGGCCAAUCAAACCGGGAGAUAGCUGGUUCUCCCCGAAAGCUAUUUAGGUAGCGCCUCGUGAAUUCAUCUCCGGGGGUAGAGCACUGUUUCGGCUAGGGGGCCAUCCCGGCUUACCAACCCGAUGCAAACUGCGAAUACCGGAGAAUGUUAUCACGGGAGACACACGGCGGGUGCUAACGUCCGUCGUGAAGAGGGAAACAACCCAGACCGCCAGCUAAGGUCCCAAAGUCAUGGUUAAGUGGGAAACGAUGUGGGAAGGCCCAGACAGCCAGGAUGUUGGCUUAGAAGCAGCCAUCAUUUAAAGAAAGCGUAAUAGCUCACUGGUCGAGUCGGCCUGCGCGGAAGAUGUAACGGGGCUAAACCAUGCACCGAAGCUGCGGCAGCGACACUGUGUGUUGUUGGGUAGGGGAGCGUUCUGUAAGCCUGUGAAGGUGUGUCGUGAGGCAUGCUGGAGGUAUCAGAAGUGCGAAUGCUGACAUAAGUAACGAUAAAGCGGGUGAAAAGCCCGCUCGCCGGAAGACCAAGGGUUCCUGUCCAACGUUAAUCGGGGCAGGGUGAGUCGACCCCUAAGGCGAGGCCGAAAGGCGUAGUCGAUGGGAAACGGGUUAAUAUUCCCGUACUUGGUGUUACUGCGAAGGGGGGACGGAGAAGGCUAUGUUGGCCGGGCGACGGUUGUCCCGGUUUAAGCGUGUAGGUGUGUGUUCCAGGUAAAUCCGGUUCACUUUAACACUGAGGCGUGACGACGAGGCACUACGGUGCUGAAGCAACAAAUGCCCUGCUUCCAGGAAAAGCCUCUAAGCAUCAGGUAACAUCAAAUCGUACCCCAAACCGACACAGGUGGUCAGGUAGAGAAUACCAAGGCGCUUGAGAGAACUCGGGUGAAGGAACUAGGCAAAAUGGUGCCGUAACUUCGGGAGAAGGCACGCUGACACGUAGGUGAAGUGAUUUACUCAUGGAGCUGAAGUCAGUCGAAGAUACCAGCUGGCUGCAACUGUUUAUUAAAAACACAGCACUGUGCAAACACGAAAGUGGACGUAUACGGUGUGACGCCUGCCCGGUGCCGGAAGGUUAAUUGAUGGGGUCAGCGCAAGCGAAGCUCCUGAUCGAAGCCCCGGUAAACGGCGGCCGUAACUAUAACGGUCCUAAGGUAGCGAAAUUCCUUGUCGGGUAAGUUCCGACCUGCACGAAUGGCGUAAUGAUGGCCAGGCUGUCUCCACCCGAGACUCAGUGAAAUUGAACUCGCUGUGAAGAUGCAGUGUACCCGCGGCAAGACGGAAAGACCCCGUGAACCUUUACUAUAGCUUGACACUGAACAUUGAGCCUUGAUGUGUAGGAUAGGUGGGAGGCUUUGAAGUGUGGACGCCAGUCUGCAUGGAGCCGACCUUGAAAUACCACCCUUUAAUGUUUGAUGUUCUAACGUGGACCCGUUACCCGGGUUGCGGACAGUGUCUGGUGGGUAGUUUGACUGGGGCGGUCUCCUCCUAAAGAGUAACGGAGGAGCACGAAGGUUGGCUAAUCCUGGUCGGACAUCAGGAGGUUAGUGCAAUGGCAUAAGCCAGCUUGACUGCGAGCGUGACGGCGCGAGCAGGUGCGAAAGCAGGUCAUAGUGAUCCGGUGGUUCUGAAUGGAAGGGCCAUCGCUCAACGGAUAAAAGGUACUCCGGGGAUAACAGGCUGAUACCGCCCAAGAGUUCAUAUCGACGGCGGUGUUUGGCACCUCGAUGUCGGCUCAUCACAUCCUGGGGCUGAAGUAGGUCCCAAGGGUAUGGCUGUUCGCCAUUUAAAGUGGUACGCGAGCUGGGUUUAGAACGUCGUGAGACAGUUCGGUCCCUAUCUGCCGUGGGCGCUGGAGAACUGAGGGGGGCUGCUCCUAGUACGAGAGGACCGGAGUGGACGCAUCACUGGUGUUCGGGUUGUCAUGCCAAUGGCACUGCCCGGUAGCUAAAUGCGGAAGAGAUAAGUGCUGAAAGCAUCUAAGCACGAAACUUGCCCCGA